UUUGAACUUCGGACCUUUGGAAGAGCAGUCGGGUGCUCUUACCCACUGAGCCAUCUCACCAGCCCGAUGUGGGUAGUUUUAUGGGGACAAUAUGAACAGGAAAUAAUUCUCCUAGAUUCUCUGGUAGCCUUAAAUAUGAGCAUCAGAGCCAGCUUUCCAGAAAGACUCAUCACUCAGUCUAAAUCACCAGCUCCUUCAGACUAAGCAUAGGGCCAGGUCACUUCUGAGCCCUUGACACAGAUCGGCCUUGACACAGGGUGCAGUACGGCCUCACCGCCAGCAGGUGAUGCCACAGACACAUGUUUAGGCAUCUGUGAGUCACUUCUUAAUCCUUCAGUACCUGAGGCGGCGGCUCAAAUCCAUUCCUUGCCCACUGGGCCCCCAAAUCUUACCCUAGAUAAGUUUUAGCUGGGGAGAGAGGUCCAUCCUGAGUAUUUUGGAGUGAAGUGCCAGGGACAACCCUGCGUCAUACAGAGGUAGUGUGUCUUCUAUCCUUCCCAGAUCUUCCCAUUGUAAGAGGGCAGUUUGAGAGAGUAGGGCUUUGGAUCACCUAGCAGAGAGACUGACUGUCUCCUCUGCGUGUUACUGGAAGGCAGGGUACUGAGACAGCAUUGUAUUGCUGGUCAACAGAGGAGGGAGCCACACCAAAACCUGGAGAGGGACAGCCUGCGGGCAAAGGUGCCACUGACGUGUUCUCCAAAAGCAACAUUCUCGCUCAGUUUGGGGAGAGAGCUGGCUGUAAAAGUCAGGUGACGAGGCUGAAGAGAUUGCUCAGUGUUAAGGGUACUCACUGCUCUUCCAGAGGACCAAGGUUCAAAUUCCAGCACUCACAUGGCAGCUCACAACGGUCUGUAACUCCAAGAUCUGAUACUCUCACAUAGACAUCCAUGCGGGCAAAACACCAAUGCGCGUAAAAUAAAGGCAAAUUCAUUUUUUAAAAAAAGUCAGGUGCUGUAAAUCAGGAGCAGAGUCCAGUCUUUCGGGGACAGGCAGGGACUCAGGGAGUACCUCUUGUGUGUGUCACAAGAGAACAUUGCCUCACCAGAUGUUGACCAAACAGGACUUCUACAAAUGUGAGUGGCAGGGCUUUCAGAGACGCUCAACUCGUGGCAGAGUGAGAAUGUAAAAAUCAUUCUCUCACCCUCAAUCAUCCUGCCUGCCUCUGGGUGAGGAAGAGGCCUUGCUUGGGACAUAAGGAUUGGGUAACUGAAGAAAAGGAGAGUUCUCUCUAGCCCCCUCUUAUCAGUGUUUCCAAGGAGAAGUCUAGAUUUCAGUUUUGACGUUAAAUGAUUUUGUGUAACUGUCACCAUCUUCUGUGACUUCAUUUAAUGUCCCUUAAAUGAAACCUGGGAAAUCGUCUGAUUGUGGUAGAGGUAGUGAUAAGAUCUGGACCUUAUAACAUCCCUCUAGAGUUUAAGGUGAAGAGUGGCCCAGAAGUGGAAUAGGAAUGGUGACUGGGAGAUAGGCACUUCUGGGUUCAUACGAGAGGAACAAGGCACAUGAUACAGGGUUACCUGAAGUGGGAUUCAGUUAAGGUGGGCUGACAGGAGUGGAUCAUGGGUGAGUCAAGAAUGUAGCCAAGAACCCAGGAAAGAGCUAAGAAUGAAGGUCCCUUGGACAGACAGUGACUGAGUUGGCAACACAGCCACAAGUUCCUUCCUGCCAGGCAUAUAUGUCCAAAGAGUGUAUUGCAAGCACAUUCUCUACCCAAGCCUAGCUUUAUCCAGGCCUCCUAUCUCCAUUCCUAACCUCAGGUGAGAACUUUAUGUGUGGUAUGGGGAUCAGACUCAGGUUGUCAGACUUCGAUGGCUAGUGCUUUCACAAACUGAGCAAAUUGAGCAAGUUUCACAAAGUUGCCAGCCCAACAAAAGUACUUUUAAAAAAAGUACUUUUCAAUAUGUUCAGCGCUAUCUGGCCAUUCUGGUCAGUACUAAAACCUCACCCUCAGGUGUCCUCCCUCACUAUCUAAGGAGAUUUUGACAGUUCCCCUUGUCUAGGGAGCUGUAUCUUACUUACCUUGAAUGAUCCUUUGAGCAGAAGCCCAAGUGCGUUUUGCUAGAUUCUCCUUGCAGAACUUUUAUAAAUAUUUAAAAAAUAUUAAUUUAUGUGUAUGAAUGUUUGCCAGCAUGCAUAUAUGUACACCAUGUGUAUACCUGGUGCUCUCAGAGGCCAGGAGAGGGUAAAAGAUCCCAUGAACUAGAAUUAUAGAUGGUUAUUAGCCAUCAUUUGGGCACUGAGAAUUAAUCCCGGGUCCUCCGGAAGAGCAGUAGCAGUCAGUGCUGUUAACCACUGAGCCAUCUUCCCAGACUGUUCUUACAAUUUUUUUUGGCAUGCUGCUUUAUGUACUUUUCAGUUCUGCAUUUCAGGUUGGUCCAAUGCUUUAUUAAAAAUGUAGUACUAGGAUUAACUUUGUCUUAAAAUCCACUUUGUCAAUAUUAAUAUAGCAACUACUACGCUUUGUUAAUGUUUUCCUACUAGUUAAAAAAAAUCCUUUUCCAAGAUUAAAAUUUGUUAUGGGGCUGAAGAAAUUGCUUAGCAGUUAAGAGAACUGGCUGCCCUAGCAGAGGAUACAGGCUCAAUUUCUCGCACCCACAGCUGAUCCACAACCAUCAAUAGCUCCAGUUCCAGGGGAUCUAACACUCCUUCUUCUGGCAUCCUAGAGCCCUAGGCAUGUAUGUGGUGCACAUACAUAAAUGAGUGCAAACUACUCAUACAUAAACUGAAUACAUCUUUACAAAAAAGCUGAGAGCCAACCAGAUCUAUACAUUGAGACUCUGGAAAUAAAACUUACAUUUUAUUGAGAUAGACUUCAGUCACACAGUACAAAAUUGACCAUUUAAAAUGUAAAAUUUGGUGGCAUAGGCCUAUAAUCCCAGAACUUAUCCUGGGAUGCAUAAGAUAUUGCUUCACUCUCAGCCCCAAUAUCAUGUACAGUUCAAUGAGUUUCACAACAAUCACUACUGUCUAAUUACUACAAAAGGAAACCCCAUACUCAUUAGCACUCAUGCCUCCCCCGUCAUUCAAGGGCAUUUCAUGGCUUUGAUUUGCAUUUCUUUGGCGAUCAAUGAUAUUACACAUCUUUUCAUGUACUUAUUAGUGUGUAUAUGUGUGUGUGUGUGUUUAUGUCAGUCAAAUUGUCCAAAACUUGUCAUGUGGCUGAGCUUACCUACCCUUGUUCAUUUUUUUGAGUCAUUUGUCUUUUUGUUAAUGAGUUCUUAAUAUUUUCUAGUUAGUAGAUCUUUAUCAGAUAUGCAAUUUGUAAGUCUUUUCUCCCACUCCUAGGGCUGUCUUUUCACUCGUCAAUGCACAAAUGUUUUAGCCUUGUGAUAAACUCCAACAGUUUUCCUUAGUUUCCAGUGCUUGUGAUGUAUGUUGGCUGACUUUUCCUGGGGAGAUAUGAGCAAAUGUCUGUUUAUCUCGGAUGAGACACUGAUGACAGACUAAAGAAAUGAUUCCACCAAUCGUAGCUCAAUGAACUGCUGAGUUUACCGGUGUUUCUUACAGGAUCACAGGUGAAGGGUUACUUACAGGAGCAUGGGUGACUCAAAGGCAGCUGUAUCUCUGCAAAGCCCAUCCCAGCAUGGAUGAUGGAUGACUCAUGAAAGCUACAUUCCUGGAGCUUCCUGCUCAAUCUGCUGGCAGCUCAGCCUACAGUUGUUUACUGCCUUUCUAACUGUAGGGAAAGAGUUUUGUCAUUUAUAGGAACAUGGAGAACUCAAAGACAACUGCAUCACCAAAAGCCACCACAGCAUGAGUGACAGUUGAUGAAAGUGGGAACUCUGGACAUCUCUGCACAUUUCAGGUAGCUCAACAGUUCAGAGCCUUUCUCCUCAGCACUCCUCUUACUGCUUAUAUAAGAUAAAUUGCUACAGAACUCUCUCUCUCUCUCUCUCUCUCUCUCUCUCUCUCUCUCUCUCUGUCUGUGUGUGUGUGUGUGUGUUGCUUGUAUGUGAAUGUACAGGUAGGUGGUCAGGACAGUAUUUUGUGUGUUUUCCUCUAUUGUUGUCUAUCUUAUAGCCUUGGGAAUGGAUUUCUUUUUGAACCAAAAGCUCACCAUUUUGGCUAGGCUGACUGGCCAUUAAAUCCUGAGAAUCUACAUGUCUCUGCUCAUCUACCAAUGGAGUAAUAGGCACAUGUAGUCAUUCCAGGCAUUUAAUAUGAGUUCAGGUCUUUGUACAUCCAGAGCAAGCACCCUUACCCACAGAACCAUCUUCUCAACUUUCUUCUUUUACAUAGGUUGUCUAGUUGUCCUAGAAUUAUUCUUUUUAUUAUUAUUUAUUUAUUCAUUUUUCGAGACAGGGUCUUACAAUGUAGUUAGUCCUGGCAGUCCUGGACCUCACCAUGCAGACCACAUUGGCCUUGAAUGCUCAGAGAUCUGCCUAACUCUACCUCCUGAGUUCUGAAAUUAAAGGCAUCAUUCAUCAUGUCCUGCUAGGUCUCUCUUUCUUGAGUCUCAAUUCUAUUCCAUUUAUUCAUGUGCCAGUAUCAUAGUGUCUUGAUUGUUGUAGUUAUGUGAUUAGUUUUGAAAUCAGGAUGCACAAGUCCUCCAAUUUUGUUCUUUUCAAAAUUGUUCUGACUAUUGUAUGUUUCUUGCAUUAGUCAAUUUCUUCUGAUAAUCUGUAAAUGGGUUCGUUCUCAAUUCAUGUGUUGAAAUCCCACUUCUCACUAGAAUUCUAAUACUUGGAAACUGGGCCUCUAAGGAAGUAAUUAAUGAAGCCAUCAGGAUGGCUGAUACUAUUAGUGUCCUUAUAACAAACACCAGAGAGCUUACUUGCUGUCUUUCUCCACAGGCACAUAAUGAAGAGAUGCCAGGUGAGGACACAAUGAGAAACUGAUUGGCAGCAAGUCAUGAACAGUGUAGUGUCCUUGCCAUCCCCUGAACUAACUAGCUGGAACGCCGUUUUGAGCCCAAGAAGAUGGGAAGGGAGACGUGUUAUAGUGAAAAAACUUGGAGUUCUGUCUUAGUCAGAGUUUCUAUUCCUGCACAAACAUCAUGACCAAGAAGCAAGUUGGGGAGGAAAGGGUUUAUUCAGCUUACACUUCCACAUUGCUGUUCAUCACCAAAGGAAGUCAGGACUGGAACUCAAGCAGGUCAGGAAGCAGGAGCUGAUGCAGAAGUCAUGGAGGGAUGUUCUUUACUGGCUUGCUUCUCCUGGCUUGCUCAGCCUGCUCUCUUAUAGAACCAAGACUACCAGCCCAGAGAUGGCACCACCCACAAUGGGCCUUUCCCCCUUGAUCACUAAUUGAGAAAACGCCUUACAGCUGGAUCUCAUGGAGGUAUUUCCUCAAGGGAGGCUCCUUUCUCUGUGAUAACUCCAGCUUGUGUCAAGUUGACACAAAACUAGCCAGUACAAGUGCUGAAUCACAAUUGACUCCAGGGAAUCCGACAUCCUCUGCUGAUUCCAUGGGCAUUAACAUAUAUGUUUCCACACAUAUACAUAAAUAAGAAUAAAGUAAGAUCUUUGGAAAAAUGGAAAAUACAUUUUAGAGAAUGGUUUUAUACAGGGUUGGGAGUGAAACUCAGAGUUUUGUGCUUGCUGGACAAGCACUCUAUCAACUAAGCUACAUCUGCAGCCUCAAGCCAUUACUUUUUAAAGCCAGGUGUGGACUUUUUAGUUGAUAAUAUUGUUUGUCUUUCUGUACUCUGAAUAUAUCACUCUAUUACCUUCUGACAUACAUUGUUUCUGACCAAAAAUCAGGUGUUAGAUUGUUUUUAUGGGUCCCUUUUCUCUUGGUACUUUCUCAAUUUGUGUAUCUUUGUCUUUUUCUUUAAAAGAAUUAUUUAUUCUUUAAUUUAUUAUAUGUAAGUACACUGUAGCUGUCUUCACUCCAGAAGAGGGCAUCAGAUCUCAUUACGAAUGAUUGUCAGUCACCAUGUGCUUGCUGGGAAUUGAACUCUGGACCUUUGGAGGAGCAGUCAGGCUCUUAACUGCUGAGCCAUCUCUCUAGCCCUGUAUCUUUGUCUUUAAACAGUGAUUGUGAAAUAUCUA